UCAACCAAGACAGCUGGCAAGCUAGCUGCACUGGCUGUGACUAAGUUCACGUUAAACCUCAACUCUCCACAAGACUCCUGUGCUGAUGUGACCUUACGUUUCUGCCUCAGGACUUCAUGCUCUCAUCAAGCAUUCAACCCAACUUUUGCACAGAAAUUCUGUGCCAAACCUACAGUGUGACACAAAAGAUCUGCAUGGAGUGGAGUGGUAUAGAAGACCAAAGAGCAGGGAAGUCAAACUUUAUUUUUCAUUUUUAAUGUUUGGAUUUGUGAGCUUGUCAAUGACCUUCAGCUUGGUGCCUGACCUGCAAUUAAGGAGCACUACUCGGUGGACCCAAGCUAGCCUAACCAUGGUUUCAGACCAAUAAUCCUACUCCUGGGAGUGAAUUAUUCAAUUCAAGUAACAAGAUCUUAGCCGAGCAUGUGAAUCUCUGAACCUGUUUAAAAGUCAGAACCCGCAAACUCUAACAAAGCUAUGUCUGUUGGAGUCUGGCAUUCAAAC